rnacentral:tRNA from 1 species
GGCCCACGCAGUGAGUUCACGCCAAAAUGCAAAUUUGGAAACACACCCCAAAGGGUGUCGGGGCUU